AUACGAUAGAAUAUGAAUAAUCUGUUUUCUUUUUCACAUAUCUAUAACGGUAAUGCGGCACCGGAUCGUUCAUAAGCAAUUUUAUUUUAUCAAAUGUCGUCCUGAAAAUUAUUUACUGCGCGAAGUGCGCGGCAGCAGUUCCGGGAAUUAUGGGUAGAAAACAACAACAACAAAAAACGAUGAAGGUAUAGAACAUAUGUGAUCCCUAUGACCCACUACAUACAGAGCUUGCUAAUUUUGCUUUGGGUGAGAUUGGAAACGGAUAUACACUGCACAGUCUUGUUUGCGCACGAACUCAGGUGGUAGCCGUUAUAAGAUAUAUAAUGGAGCUGUAUGCUACUAAAACCACCAACGGAGGAAUGAAAUCGUGUCAUCAUUGUGAUGUGACUGUAUUGCACGUUCCUUGGGGAGCAGGGCCGGAAUUUACCAUAGAAAAUAGUUCUUGUAUGGAAGAAACUACACUGAACAUGUGUUCCCUCUAAUGUAUUUUUUUUUAUAAAUUGCAAAAUGCUUCGGGAUCAAUGAUCGGUUUUAAGUUAUGAUGUACUAGGAGAAGCGUAUUGUUUUACAUUUUAUAUAAUAUUUCUUCAAACGAAGAUCAUGUUGUUCUGAUGGAUGCUAUGCGAUCAAGUAUUAAAAUGAACAGGGUGUGAUUCUGAUUCAAAAUGAUGUGAUCACGUGUAUUUUAGUUAAUUUUUUGUUUGCUGUGUUUAAAGUCACCUGAACAAAAUUAUAGGUCAUAUGACAACUUUCCACCUUCUCAUGGAGAAGACUCCAUGUGCCUGUCACAGUAUUAUUUCAGGCACGAGCGGGCACCUGGGUAAAAUCACCGACCUUCCGCCAGCCAACUGGAUCGCUUCCUUACAUGAAAGAAAUAUAUAUCCCAAGGGAAGUUUCGAACAUUCAGCGUUAAGACGUAAGUGAUUUCAAUUGACUUUAACUGCUCGGCCACGGAGGCCUUUACCAACCACGUGUUGAAAUUAACAAUGUUGAGAUAUGGUUCAUAGUGAACAUAUGAUAUCUUGCAUAAAAUACUCUAGUGUGAGGUCUUGUAUCAUAAUGGACAAUCUUUUGC
rnacentral:lncRNA from 1 species